rnacentral:sRNA from 1 species
AAACAAAACAAACCCGAGGCAGCAUGGAGAGGGGCCGUGGCCCCUGCAGCGGAACCGGACCCAGUCCCUGAGCCGCCCCUACACCCACAGCAUCGCACAGAAUUAUUUAAAAAAAAAAAAAAAGCAGUGAUCCAAGCAAUUGAAUUGGAAGCACUCUGGGGAAACCUGCUGUUUAUUGUGAAAAUCAUCUUCGAUCUUGGAAUUGAAAGUAAAGCUGGAAAGGAAUUUACAAACGAGAAAAAAAAGAAGUUUGGAAUCGGAUUCACAGGAUCUGGGCUUGGAAAUGCCUCAGCCUAGUGUAAGCGGAAUGGAUCCGCCUUUCGGGGAUGCCUUUCGAAGCCACACCUUUUCGGAACAAACUCUGAUGAGCACAGAUCUCUUAGCAAACAGUUCGGAUCCAGAUUUCAUGUAUGAACUGGAUAGAGAGAUGAACUACCAACAGAAUCCUAGAGACAACUUUCUUUCUUUGGAGGACUGCAAAGACAUUGAAAAUCUGGAGUCUUUCACAGAUGUCCUGGAUAAUGAGGGUGCUUUAACCUCAAACUGGGAACAGUGGGAUACAUACUGUGAAGACCUAACGAAAUAUACCAAACUAACCAGCUGUGACAUCUGGGGAACAAAAGAAGUGGAUUACUUGGGUCUUGAUGACUUUUCUAGUCCUUACCAAGAUGAAGAGGUUAUAAGUAAAACUCCAACUUUAGCUCAACUUAAUAGUGAGGACUCACAGUCUGUUUCUGAUUCCCUUUAUUACCCCGAUUCACUUUUCAGUGUCAAACAAAAUCCCUUACCCUCUUCAUUCCCUGGUAAAAAGAUCACAAGCAGAGCAGCUGCUCCUGUGUGUUCUUCUAAGACUCUGCAGGCUGAGGUCCCUUUGUCAGACUGUGUCCAAAAAGCAAGUAAACCCACUUCAAGCACACAAAUCAUGGUGAAGACCAACAUGUAUCAUAAUGAAAAGGUGAACUUUCAUGUUGAAUGUAAAGACUAUGUAAAAAAGGCAAAGGUAAAGAUCAACCCAGUGCAACAGAGCCGGCCCUUGUUGAGCCAGAUUCACACAGAUGCAGCAAAGGAGAACACCUGCUACUGUGGUGCAGUGGCAAAGAGACAAGAGAAAAAAGGGAUGGAGGCUCUUCAAGGUCAUGCCACUCCUGCUUUGCCUUUUAAAGAAACCCAGGAACUAUUACUAAGUCCCCUGCCCCAGGAAGGUCCUGGGUCACUUGCAGCAGGAGAGAGCAGCAGUCUUUCUGCCAGUACAUCAGUCUCAGAUUCAUCCCAGAAAAAAGAAGAGCACAAUUAUUCUCUUUUCGUCUCCGACAACUUGGGUGAACAGCCAACCAAAUGCAGUCCUGAAGAAGAUGAGGAGGACGAGGAGGAUGUUGAUGAUGAGGACCAUGAUGAAGGAUUCGGCAGUGAGCAUGAACUGUCUGAAAAUGAGGAGGAGGAAGAAGAGGAAGAGGAUUAUGAAGAUGACAAGGAUGAUGAUAUUAGUGAUACUUUCUCUGAACCAGGCUAUGAAAAUGAUUCUGUAGAAGACCUGAAGGAGGUGACUUCAAUAUCUUCACGGAAGAGAGGUAAAAGAAGAUACUUCUGGGAGUAUAGUGAACAACUUACACCAUCACAGCAAGAGAGGAUGCUGAGACCAUCUGAGUGGAACCGAGAUACUUUGCCAAGUAAUAUGUAUCAGAAAAAUGGCUUACAUCAUGGUAAGAGGGGAUUGCAGUCAGAUAUUUAGUGUCACUUUAAUUAAGUUGAGCUACUAAUCCAUAAUGCUUACUCCGUGUACCUAGGCAUUCAACCCUUCCUAGCAAACUGGAGAUGGGGACUGUAGAGCUGCUACGUUUGCAUGACUACUCUUCAUCACUCACAAAUAGCUUUUACCAGUGUUGAGUCCUCACUUAAGCGGACAGGAAGGACUGUGUAAACAUUAUUUCAUUUCUAGUCCCUUCUUAAUCUACCUACCCCAUCCAGGAAAUGACCAGGAGGCUGCUGGUUUCUGACCUGUCACAGUUGGUAUAACCAGAAGGGUUGAGGAGAAAGUGAACGGGCUCUCUUGCAUUCUUGUCUAAUCCCCAGAUGUAAAUGGGGGGACUGGAAUUCAAAUGGUAAUGGGGAUAAAAGGGCAAGGAAAGAAAAGAAAGGGGAGGAUGGUUAUGGAGAAAAGGAGUAGUAGAGAAGAGUUGAAUACCUGUAGUAGGAAUCAGAAGUUUAUAAUCUUAGGUAGGUCAGGCCGUGUGCUGCAGCUCAUGCUUGUAAUCCUAGCACUUUGGGAGGCUGAGACGGGAGGAUCACUUGAGUCCAGGAGUUAGAGUCUGCAAUGAAUUGUGAUUAUGCCACUGCACUCCAUCCUGGGCGAUAGAGUGAGACCCUGUCUCUAAAAAAAUUUUAAAAAUGACAGUCUUAGAUAGGUCAUAUUUUUUAUUGUGAACUCAGGAAGCUGUGAUUAAGUAGAAUUUAUUCUACACAAAUGUUAUUUUUAAAUCCAUAGUUUCUAGUUCUGCUCUGAAUAAAAAAAAUUAAUACAAAGUCUUUACUGAAAAAAGUGGGGAGGGGAACUACUAGUAAGUGUGAUGGUCAGUAAACAGGUUAUUCACUCAUUGUACAGAUGUGAGUUGCUAAGGAUUUUUGGGGACAAGAAUUCAUCUGAUGUAUGUUUGUGCCUCAUUUUCCUUUUCCACUAGCAACCAGGUCUACUAUAUUGUCGCUCAGUAAAUAAUUACCAAGUUUUUGCCUUCAGAUAAGUUUUCUACUAGAAAUGAAACAUUAAGUCCAGUCAGUAAUCCCAAGUAGCACAUGAGUACUAGGAAAGUUGUAGGAGUUCAGAGGACAGAGCCAUCCUUUUUGCCUGGAGUGAUAGACCAAGACCCCUUGAAUCUUCUAUAAUGUUAUUUAUCAAAGCAACAAAAGAAGAGCUUUUAAACAAGGUUAUGCUUACUUGUUGGAUUUUCAAGUUCAAUACAAAAAUGUGUAUGUCUGACAAUUUUCAGACAUAGCAUCAGAAACAUCUUGGUUUGGGUAAAAUCUCCAAGCUCUCUUCUGACUAUAUAUUAUACCUUAGUCCUGAUUUUGGUGUUUAGUUGAACUCAUACUCAUCCUGAGAUUUGAGAUGCUUAGUAUGCCAUGCAAAUAAUGAAGAAUCUGUCAUGCUGGGACUAGAAGCCUAGGGUAGGGAAGAACUUGGAAAAAGUUAGAACUCUGCCAUAUCACCCCCAUUUCCUGCAGCCACAAGAUGGGAAGGAGAGGAGGCCAGCUCUUCUAGGACAGAUUGUUAAACAUGCCAAGACUUCUGAGAAGAAAAGGUAGUGGUGGGAAGUCGUUAAAAAUGUGGCCGUGAAAAAUGUGUCUCCUGUUAAUUAAAGUGAUCUAACUUAAACUUCUUUUAAAAUGUUCAUAGGAAAAUAUGCAGUAAAGAAGUCACGGAGAACUGAUGUAGAAGACCUGACUCCAAAUCCUAAAAAACUCCUCCAGAUAGGCAAUGAACUUCGGAAACUGAAUAAGGUGAUUAGUGACCUGACUCCAGUCAGUGAGCUUCCCUUAACAGCCCGACCAAGGUCAAGGAAGGAAAAAAAUAAGCUGGCUUCCAGAGCUUGUCGGUUAAAGAAGAAAGCCCAGUAUGAAGCUAAUAAAGUGAAAUUAUGGGGCCUCAACACAGAAUAUGAUAAUUUAUUGUUUGUAAUCAACUCCAUCAAGCAAGAGAUUGUAAACCGGGUACAGAAUCCAAGAGAUGAGAGAGGACCCAACAUGGGGCAGAAGCUUGAAAUCCUCAUUAAAGAUACUCUCGGUAAGAAGAAUAUGAGAUGAAUUCAUAACAAUUAAUAACAUGUAUAAGAUGUAUGAUUUAAGGGGAUAUUAAAAGUUCUUUUAGUUUAAGGAAAAACUCAAGUGCUCUCAUUGUAAUUACUCUCCUUUAUGAGUAAUUUUAUCUUUUGAGAUUUAGUGUUCAUAAACAUGUGCUGCAGGUGACCACAACUUGUAAUUUAGACUUAAUCAUGAAACUAUUUUAACAUUUAAGAAAAACAAACUUCUAGCAACUUUAACCUUUCAUGGAGGACAAAAGGUCCCAGAGCUGUCAAGCCUGCAGUUUGCACUUUAGUGUAGAGAUUCUUACUUGUUUUACUUAGUAAUGCAUUUCACAGGAUUCCCACAAACUUGGCUCUCUGGUUUCCCAUCCCUGAACAGAUUGCACAAUGUGGGGAGGAUCAGAGAGGCAGGGAUCUAGACGUCAGGCCAACUGAGAGCCAACAGGGAAGAGAGAGCUAGCUAGUAUAGACAUAGACAUGAGGACCAGCUCAGCUGCUGUAGGAGAAAGUCACUGACAGACAGUAGCAUCCAAGGCAUUCAAAUGUUUUUCUUGAACAAAAGUAUAUUUAUAUUGAAAACAAUCAGGUGAAGAGUAGACCCUAAACACCAGUAUUUUCCUCAGCAAUCACUUACCUCCUGCUUCUGUAUGGGUUAAUUCUGUGCUUGACUUUUUCUUCAAAUGGGUUGAUGCUAUUUUAAUUUUUUAUGUGUUCUUUCAUAGAAUUUCUUUCUUUUCUUUCCUUUUAUUUUUAAAAGCAUUUUUAUUCUUCCUUUAUUAGCUACAGGGGGAAAUUUAACAUUACAAGAAAAAGUUAUUUUUACCUUUUUAUUUUUUAAUGUAAACAUCUAUAUGUUUGGUAAGCUUAUGUACUACUCCUUUACACUUGAAAGUCAGUUUUACCAGGUAUAAAAUCCUCAACUCAUAUUUUCUUUCCUUGAGUAUCUUGAAUAUGAGUCUCCAUUUUCUUUUGGCAUAAAGUGUUGCUAUAGAAGAGCUAAUACUGGCUGGGCGUGGUGGCUCAUGCCUGUAAUCCCAACACUUCGGGAGGCCAAGGCAGGCGGAUCAUUUGAGGUCAGGAGUUCGAGACCAGCCUGGCCAACAUGGUAAUACCCCGUCUCUACUAAAAAUACAAAAAUUAGCUAGGCGUGGUGGCAGACACCUGUAAUCCCAGGUACUUGGGAGGCUGAGGCAGGGGAAUCGCUUGAAUGCAGGAGGGGUGGAGGUUGCAGUGAGUCAAGAUUACACCACUGCACUCUAGCCUGGGUGACAGAGCAAAACUCUGUCUCAAAAAAAAAAAAAAAAAAAAAGAAAAGAA